CAGCUGAGGGAUUCGAAGUUAGAUUACUUUGGCACUACUUCAUUACAGUAUACUUGCAAUGUUACCAGUGGGCAUCUUGUGUGGUUGAUGAAAGAAUGAUCUAUUCCAUCAAUUUUGUAGACAAGUGGCAUCUUAAAGAACAUGUGGUAGAGAGUUGCAGAGGCAGGCGCCGCGCAGCUCACUGCUGUUGGGGACUGCAGCGCAGCUCACUGCUAUUGGCGACUGCAGCCCAGCUCUUGAAGGACUUAGUGAAGAUGUACUCUGAGUUCAUUUAUUUCCCCAUUUAAGGAGGUUGAUGUUGAAGUGCCAGCUGAUGAGGAGGAAUCAAGUGAAGUAGAGGAUACUGACACAGAUCACAGAGGAAGAAGAUAAAGAAGAUGGUGAAGAUAGAAAUCCCAUUAGCAUGAUGGGACGCUGUCAAGACCUUCCCAUGCUCUCAUACUUCCAUUCGGCGAACUCUUGGAUUAGGAGAUGAUGCAUGGUGACCAAGUAAAAAAGCAGCGGAGAUGAUGCAUGAGAUAGGGAAAGUUGGCAGGCUGCAUGCAGGAUGGUCCUGACCUGUUGGUUACUUGGUUAUGUCGAAAUGAGAAAUGCUUUUGAUGUGGCUGGGCCUUGUGGUUAAGCCUAGACACUCGGUUGAGGCCUCGCCUGAAGAUGACCACUUCCUUCAUCUUUAUCAGGGCAAAGAAGGGUGACGAGGCGGAACGACCAGAAGCUGUCCACCAAGAUCCUGUUAGUUCCCCAAGAGCCAGCUCGGCCUGGUCUUCGAGGAGUUUGAGCUCUCGAACACCACCAAGUCACCCCUCUUCUUCUUCUCCUCUGUGUAUAAGUUCUUCGAGACUUCCGACAGAGUUGUGAUGGAUUUUGACUCUAAAGAAGAAUCUGAAGCUGGUGCGGCUGAUGGAGGAUGGACGCUGAGCACAAUCACCCUCAGAAACCCACCAGCAGAUGGCUCACGGCGAGCAGGGCGAAGCAGCGGCGCCGAUGAGAACGAGCCGGCAUUCCUGCCUGGGGAUGAGCUUGUUGGUUUGCAGCUUCACCAACCUCGGUCCUUGGAGAUGUUCUGUGCUGAGCAGCUUGCUGGAAGCCGGGUGGUGUCUGCGCAAUGUCUUUCAGCAAUCCGACUGCCCUUGCAAGGCGCAUGCUUCACGGCACCCGAUUGUGUAGAAGGGUUUGGGGUGGCCAUUCCCAGGUCUGCCGAGUUGUUUUCAUGUAUCUGAGUCCUGAACAUCAAUUCCCAUGCUUCAGCAUUGAUGAAUUGCUGCAUGCAAGAAGAGAUCAAGGCUGUUGUGCUGGGUUCAGUUACUAGCUUGCUUGUGAUAGAUUUGAAACCAGUGUACUUUAACUACUU